rnacentral:rRNA from 1 species
AACGAACGCUGGCGGCAUGCCUAACACAUGCGAGUCGAACGAGACCUUCGGGUCUAGUGGCGCACGGGUGCGUAACGCGUGGGAACCUGCCCUUAGGUUCGGAAUAACUCCCCGAAAGGGGUGCUAAUACCGGAUAAUGUCUUCGGACCAAAGAUUUAUCGCCUUUGGAUGGGCCCGCGUUGGAUUAGCUAGUUGGUAGGGUAAAAGCCUACCAAGGCGACGAUCCAUAGCUGGUCUGAGAGGAUGAUCAGCCACACUGGGACUGAGGCACGGCCCAGACUCCUACGGGAGGCAGCAGUGGGGAAUAUUGGACAAUGGGCGAAAGCCUGAUCCAGCAAUGCCGCGUGAGUGAUGAAGGCCUUAGGGUUGUAAAGCUCUUUUACCCGGGAUGAUAAUGACAGUACCGGGAGAAUAAGCGCCGGCUAACUCCGUG